rnacentral:snoRNA from 1 species
AACACUAUACUUACGGGGAUCGUUUUUUAUAGUUCUUAACGAAAGAAUGUGUUUUGUAAGUGUUGUGUCUUUCAAACUGCGAUAAUGCGCUUUAAUGCUGUUAUCGGAGCGUGAAUCAGAUAUAGAAUAAUGAAUUGUUUCACAUGCUUUACAUCACUGAUGAACGUUUCUUAUUGCGUUUUUGCAAUGAGGAGGAGAAGAGUAUGAUCGGAGUGGU